GAUGAAGAACGCAGCGAAAUGCGAUAAGAAUGUGAAUUGCAGAAUUCAGUGAAUCAUCGAAUCUUUGAACGCACCUUGCGCUCCUUGGUAUUCCGAGUAGCAUGCCUGUUUGAGUGUCAUGAAAUUCUCAACCUUUUCAGCUUUCUUUGUUGAUCAGGCUUGGAUGUGGGAGUAUGCGGGCUUCUCAGAAGUCGGCUCUCCUGAAAUGCAUUAGCGGGACCUUUGUUGCCUGGCUUUGGUGUGAUAAUUAUCUACGCCAUUGUAGUCAAGCAGCUUAAAAUGAGGUUUCAGCUUCUAACCGUCUCCCCUGAGACAACUUUUUGACAAUUUGACCUCAAAUCAGGUAGGACUACCCGCUGAACUUAAGCAUAUCAAUAAGCGGAGGA
rnacentral:misc_RNA from 1 species